AAACCUUCAAUUUUUGCCGCCCAUCCCCUCAGUUCCCACUUCCCACCCACACACCACGACCCUCUAUGUCACCCACUCUCUCAUCUGCCAUAACCAUAACUACUUUCUUUUCUUUUCACUCCUCCCUAUCUCUUUCACAAAAGCUCUGCCUCACGGAACCACCGAAAUCACUCCCCCACACCACUACAAACCUCCCAUAUAACUGCCCCGUCCCGCAAAAAUCAAUCCCGCCUUAUUCUCUUCCCGUCUCACGAACACCCCUCUCCGUCUCCCUCUAUCGCCAGCAGCAACAACCAAUCCACACCGGGCAGGCCUGGAUCCCGUUGGAAACGCCUGUUUGGAGCCUUGCUGCCUUUAACAUGGCAUUCAGGCAAUAUCCAAUUUCGAAAAUUCAUGCAGUUCACUAUUGCUGCCAUGUUCUCUCUCUCUCUCUCUCUCUCUCUCUCUCUCUCUCUCUACGUGUUUCAGUCAUUGAUUUCUCUGUACUUUGCAAUAUAUCGGGUAUAGGUGUUCCUUGCAUUCAAGGUGUUUGAGAAAAUGCAUCAUCAAACCGAGCUUUUUUAUGUUCUUCUCCGAUGCUCAACUUUGUUUUGAAUUCAGAUGGUCCUAAUUCAAUCCACUGUAUGUCUAAUUUUUUUUGCCAAUGAAUGGGAUUGUGGUAGAUUUUUUUUGUCCUUGAAUUAGUUUUAAAUCGCUUUCAGAAACCUAUUUUCAAACUCUGGAUUUUCUUUUGAAUUUCGUUAUUGCAGGAUACUUAAUUGGAUUUUGUGAUGCACCAUAGCCACAACCACGACGUGCUCUUCUGAACCCAACCCAACCGUGACCGCAAGGAGACGCUUAUGAAUGUCAAGGCAUGCCUUUUGACACCGGCCUCGAUUUGUCCAAGUACGCGGAUCGUAAUUGUUGCAGUGCAUUGGAAAAUUAUAACAAAAACAAUAAUUGUGACUUCUGGCCCUAUAAUGUAAAAGAAAGGUGUGCUGAGUUGCUUCGAUCCCGGUGAUCUGAUCGAGUUGGGCCUUGAUCGAGAGAUUGGAUGAACACAUAGUAGGAGAGAAGGUGAUCCAUGGAGUCCAUAUUUUUCCAACUUGGACAGUGUGAAUUGUGAAGGUUUCGCAUUCGUUCAUGGGGGAUUCGUCUUCAAUUGAUUAUAUCUUUGUAAUAUAUAUGAGGUUGUAGGUGAUUUCGAAAACUUUGUUUAAUAGUACUGAUCGAGAGCUAUCGAACAAGAUAUAUAUUGCAUAUAAUCGAUUUACUAUCCGGUUAAUUAGAAUGGAAAGAGGGACUAAGAA